UUUCUGGGUUUGGUGGGAUAUCUUAUCCUGCUUUAAGGUGUUGAAGAUAUUAAAUUGCUGAUCUCUCACUCACUUCCACAUGACACGCAAUUAUAUAAGCAGCCUAGCUAGCUAUUUCAUGGUCACGUGUUUAAUUUGUUUUGUGUACAUUGCCUUGGCUUUCCUCACCUACCCAGCUAGCUGCUGCCUUUCAAACAAACCAAAAUAUGGAGGAAGAGCAGUCGGUGGCGAAGUUGCCUCUGAUUGAAGCAGAGUGCUCUGCUCGUUUAGGGAUUAGCAAUAUUGAUUAUGAUCAAGAUCAACAUGGUGGUGUUGGCAGCCUCGACAGUGCCGGUGCUCCUGUUGAAACAAGAUCGACGGCUGUUCUAUGUAUUUGCACCUUUGCGGCCGCCUGCGCUGCCUUCACUGGUGGUUGUCUAGCGUCAUAUUCAUCAUUGGCUGAGUCUGGAAUUAUAGCUGAUUUGGGUCUCACUGUGGCAGAGUACUCGGUUUUUGGUUCAAUAAUGACAGGGGGAGCAAUGCUUGGCGCCGUAAUAAGUGGGAGGAUGACAGAUUUCAUUGGUCGUAGACGUGUAUGCAUGUUCUUCAAAUAUACAAUCCCUCUUCUGCUGGAAUAUAUGAAUAAUAUUAAGACAUUAUGGGUUUUGGACAUAUUCUACAUCGUAGGCUGGCUUGCCAUUAUUUUCGCUGAGGGCGCUUGGUUGCUCGACCUUGGAAGACUGUCGCUGGGAAUUGGGUUUGGGCUUACUUGUUAUGUGGGACCUGUAUAUCUUGCAGAAAUAACACCAAAGAAUGUAAGAGGACUACUAAUGUCAAUCAGUCAGUCAAUGACUGGUUAUGGUGCUUCUUUCACGUUUUUAGUCGGUUCUUUCGUCACCUGGCGUUCUUUGGCCAUAAUCGGUUGUAUUCCGAGUCUGUUACUGCUCCUUGCUCUAUUUUUCAUUCCAGAGUCUCCUAGAUGGUUGGAUUAUAUCGAAAACCAGCGUCUUCAACAGAACUCCGACGACAAUGUCCUCAACUUGUUUAGGCGAAAAUAUCUUCAUAUAGUCAUUAUUGGAGUUGGGCUGAUGGUAGUGCAAACAUCAGAUGGCCUAUGUGGAUUUCUGUUUUAUAUGAGUGAAAUUUUUGAUUCAGCUGGUAUCUCUAGUACACUGGGGUUUAUCCUGGUUGCUGUUGUUCAGAUUCCUUCAUUUGUUUUGACUGCAGCACUGAUAGAUAAAUUUGGAAGACGAACGUUGUUAAUGGCUUCUGCAACUGGGCAAUGCUUAGGCUGCUUCCUCACCGGAUUAUCCUACUUCUUGCAGGUAUAUAAAUUCGAAGGUAUAUAUUGUGAUACCCCAUAUGAUAAGUGAGGAUAGGUGGUGUAUGAGAUCCCACAUUAUUUGAGAAUGAGAAGUUCUAACUCUUUUUAAAGUUUUAAUGGGGUUCCAAUUAUAUCAUUGAUUAGUCCAUUUAGAGUAUAUGUCAUACGGUUGAAGCCUUCUCUUAGGGCGUUACAUAUAUAUUGAUUGAAGAUAGAAAACUGUUGUAUGUUUUGAAUAUAUAUAUAUAUAUAUAUAUAUAUAUAUGACCAUAAUCAGGAUGUUGACUGGUGGAAAGAAGCAAGUCCCAUUUUGGCACUGAUAGGAGUUUUGGUAUGCAAAUUUAUUUGACAAACAACAUUUCAAUCUAUCAUUUUUUAAAUCUCUCUCCUUUCAUUUAGUCAAUACUAAAGAAUUGGGCAAGAAAGUGAAAAUACCACUCUGUUUUUACUAGGUAUAUAUGGGAUCUUACGCAUUUGGCAUGGCUCAAAUACCAUGGAUUGUGGUGUCAGAGAUACUUCCAAUAAAUGUAAAGGGUUCAGCUGGAACCCUUUGCAAUCUAGUGAAUUGGUUUUGUUCUUGGGUGGUUUCAUACACUUUUAACU